GACGGGGGGGGCAAGUGUUCUUCGGAAUGACUGGGCGUAAAGCGCACGUAGGCGGCGCAGCAAGUUGGGGGUGAAAUCCCGAGGCUCAACCUCGGAAUUGCCUUCAAAACUGCUGUGCUCGAGUUCGGAAGAGGUGAGUGGAAUUCCCAGUGUAGAGGUGAAAUUCGUAGAGAUUGGGAAGAACACCAGUGGCGAAGGCGGCUCACUGGUCCGCAACUGACGCUGAGGUGCGAAAGCGUGGGGAGCAAACAGG
rnacentral:rRNA from 1 species